AACAGGGGUGGUUGUGGGAGGUUCUUCAGGGCUGAGAUGUAACGUUGAACCAGAUUUGUGUUUGGAAGCUCAAUUUUGCUUUUAGGAAUAUAAGUGAGGAGAAUGAUUUGCCAAAUGGAGUGAGCAUCCAGAUGAUCUUGUUCUGUAGACAAGAUCCUUUAACGUGUUUAUGUCAGGAGGAGGAACAUUUAUUCAUCUUAGAGGUGUUGGGAAAGGGAAGUGCAGAUGAGGGCUGCCACAGGCUGCUCCAAACCUCCAGAGUCUUGCAGGGAAGGAAUUCAUCAGUCCCUUAGCACCCUGUGCUGCAGCCUUCUGUAGCUGUUGGUCCAGUGCAAAAAGGAUGAGAAAUACAAUUCCCAUUGGGGCAGGGGAGCAGCAACACUCAGAGGAAAGUUCAGGUGGGAUCUGCGGUCCUGUGCAACUGUGGGUACGCAGUAAGGAGGGCGGCUGCCCUUCCUUCCCUUGGUGCCUACAGCUGGCUCGUGUUGUCGGACUCGCAGCUGAUGCCCCUUGGCCGAUCAUGCAUUGCUGAUCACCAUUCAAGAGUCGCUGUCCAUUAUGAAGAGCUCCUGAGGAAACCCGGCUGUGCCCUCCGCUAAUCUCACCCCUCCGAGCUGGGUGCCCCACGAUGGGACGGGACCGUCCGCACGGCCCGGGGCUGCCUGGCUGCGGGUGAGCGGGGCCCGGACGCGCUUCGGCCCUGGGAACGGUGUCAGCUCUUCGGGUUUGACAUUUUGAUAAGCAAAUGAGAGUGAAGAAAGGAAAAUACCCGAGUAUACCGCUGUGCUUGGAAAUAUAUUGCCUGCCUGGGUUAUUAUCUUUCUCUUAUUACACAAACCAGCCUAGACUCUUCCGCUGUACAGUUGUACAGCUAGCCCGAAAAUCCCUGAAUUUUUGGGAAAGUAGCUCAGUUGUUGUUUCCCUUUGCUUCUGGCUGCCUAUUGGUGAAGUUUACUAUUGGCAGUUAACAUGGCUUGCAUGCCAUUUGUCUGAUACUGGUAGCAAAGCUUAGACUGAAGGCAGUGCAGCUGCUUUCAGACUUCUGCUCCCUUCCAAGGCUGCUCAGUCUUUCACUACUUCCUACAUGAGAACUUUUUAUUUCUAUUUGUUAUGAGGGCUGCAACCAACUCUGGGGCCAGCCCUCUAGAAACAGGGCUGUGAUGCAGAGGGGGUGAAGGUGCUCAUUUGAAAGCUUCACGUGGUGCCAUUUCCUUCUGAUGCCUGGUGACCACUUCAUCUCAACAUACAGCUGUGCUUAUUUGUAGCCUUUUAUAGACACUUUUAUAUUACCUAUGGGUUUUUUUGCUAUCAUGGAAUUGGAUCUCAAGAAGCUUAAAUUGGUGGGAUUACCUGUUAAUUCUUGGAUUUGAAUGCACUGUUGACAGUGCCAGUAGUUGUUAUUCUGAAAAGCUGCGAUGUGGCGGAGUCAGAGUGUUUUGUUCUGAAGUCUUUAACACAACAUACUUCAUUUGACUUUCCUAAGUCAACCAGAAGUGUUUUGUUUCUGGGUAGCUUGGCUAUUAAGCAUCACUUCUUGUGGGCUUGUCCUUGUGCUUCGGAUAUGGGGGAAUGGGCACAGCCAGGCUGUGUUUCCCAUUGGGCUUUGCAGGAACGGGGCCUGGAUUUACCUACAUCUCUUAAAUUACAGCAGUGAGACUGAUCAGAGAAAUGCACCUCAAUGCACGCCCAGUGCCUGAGCAGAGCAUUUGCAUUUUCUAAACGUUGCUUUGUUUUAGUGCUCUACCUGCGUUUUUAAUUGGGAAAUAUUCCCUGUAGUUCUAUGUAGUGUCUGCAGGGCUAUGGGGGCUUGGUCCCUGUUAGAAGUAAAGACUCGUCCUCUUUUGAAAGAAUAUCAAAUGUCAUAAUUGAGAUCUUGGUAUUGAUGUAUUAAGUGCAAAAAUGACUUAGGUCAAUAACUGUGGGUUCAGAACUGUAAUGCUCUCAAACUUUCCUCUUUUUGCACAGAAAGGACUCAAAAUGCCAUUUCUAUCAGUCAGUGAAAGCCUAGUUUAAUUGGCUCCAGUCAAGAUGCUGAAUUGUUCUGCGUAAUCUGAAUUAAACAUUGGUUUGACUACAUAUGUGGCUUUAUCUUCCUUGAAGACAUAGGGUGCUCAGAGUCAGACAGUAGCAUCAGCUUUGAAGUUAAGUUAUUCAUAGCUCAAGGAUUGAUUCUGACAUUAACACUGUUUCCCUAUACUUCUCCCUGCAAAUGCAUCGCACCAACCCAUUCUUUCAUUUCCUGCUUUAAUAUUAAUUUUAAAUGUCUGCAGUUUCAUGGGGGGGUGGGAAAGGCCCACAAACCUCUCCUUCUGCUCUACAAAUGAGACUGAAAACCCAAAAUUAGAGGGAUGAAGAGCGACUGUUAACUUUUGUACGGAAUAACUUCUCCCUCGUGUUUGUAAACUAACAUCUAUUAUCUGCCUCAUUGCAGAGAGGGCUGUUGUGUCACUGCAGUACCAGUAUUCUUCUUGGGCACUGCACACCCUUCUGAUUAACGCCAUAUAUGCCUGAUAACUUAGGGUCACUC